GGUGCAGAAAUGAGCACAGGCAUAUUCCAGCAGAGCUCCAAAGAUGAAGGUGAAACAGAUGCCGAGAUAGACGUCGAUGGCCUUAAUGAAGCAGUUGGCAUUGGGAAGUGAGGUCCUGGCACCCAUCAUUAGUGUGGUCAUGGUGCGAGCUGGAACGGAGGACUGACUGAUCCAGAAAGACACCCAUGACAGAACCACCAGCAAUGUUGAGGGCACAUAUGUCUCCAGAAUGAAGAACAAUACAUUUCUACGUAAAGAGAAGUGCAGAACUAGCUUCGGAUAAAAACCUGCAACAGAUCCAGAAUAUUGCAGGAUACUUGGUGAGAUCCAUGUUGCAGGCGAUGGUUGCUGUAAUGCUGUGGAGAAAAAGAGGAAUAUUGAUUGAACCAUUUCAGGGGGAAGGUUCCCCAGAUGCACAUACAUCUGCCCGGAGCACCUGUUCAGCCUUUGGUAAGAAGUUAUAAAUUCAGAGUCAGUGUUUACCGAAGAG